AUACGGAGGGUGCAAGCGUUAUCCGGAUUCAUUGGGUUUAAAGGGUUCGCAGGCGGCGUAUUAAGUCAGUGGUGAAAUCCCGAGGCUCAACCUCGGAACUGCCAUUGAUACUGGUAUGCUAGAGUAUAGUUGGCGUUGGCGGAAUGUAUCAUGUAGCGGUGAAAUGCUUAGAUAUGAUACAGAACACCGAUCGCGAAGGCAGCUAACGAAACUAUAACUGACGCUCAGGAACGAAAGCGUGGGGAGCGAACAGGAUUAGAAACCCCUGUAGUCC
rnacentral:rRNA from 1 species